rnacentral:rRNA from 1 species
AACGAACGCUGGCGGCAGGCCUAACACAUGCAAGUCGAGCGAGACCUUCGGGUCUAGCGGCGGACGGGUGAGUAACGCGUGGGAACGUGCCCUUUUCUACGGAAUAGCCUCGGGAAACUGAGCGUAAUACCGUAUACGCCCUUUGGGGGAAAGAUUUAUCGGAGAAGGAUCGGCCCGCGUUGGAUUAGGUAGUUGGUGGGGUAAUGGCCUACCAAGCCUACGAUCCAUAGCUGGUUUGAGAGGAUGAUCAGCCACACUGGGACUGAGACACGGCCCAGACUCCGACGGGAGGCAGCAGUGGGGAAUCUUAGACAAUGGGGGCAACCCUGAUCUAGCCAUGCCGCGUGAGUGAUGAAGGCCUUAGGGUUGUGAAGCUCUUUCAGAUGGGAAGAUAAUGACGGUACCAGCAGAAGAAGCCCCGGCUAACUCCGUG